GUGCAAUGUCCUAGAGUUUAGCAGAACAAUUAAUCUUGACCUCAGCAACUAUGAUGAAGAUGGAGCAUGGCCAGUUUUGUUGGACGAGUUUGUGGAGUGGUAUAAAGACAAACAGAUGUCCUAGGACUUUAUGCAUAGCAGCGAGAGAGUCACUGUUACCACAGUUUUGUCACCCAUUAGCCAUAAAUUGCUGUUUGUAUCAAAGCGCAUGCUGCUUCUCUUGCACUGUUUCCCUUUCGCAGGGACAUGUUGGUGUUUGCUAUUGAAUUGGCCAGCUCUGCUUGCUGUGUGGCAUUGUUCUCUUGGAAGGCUGCUUUGCAGUUUGUAUUUACACUACAGAUUGGUGAAUUUGCCAACGUCCUCACUGUGAUUAUGUGUAUAUUGCUGUUUAAAUUUUGUAUAUGUGUAUAAAAGGAAAAAGGUUCACCUAGAGAUUAUUUCUGAAAAAUGUAUUGUAAAAAUAAUUUUGUGGCAUUUCUAGUCCCUUUUUUUGAAUGAACCAAUUAUACUUUAUUUGGUCUCCUAUGUAGCAUUUCAGAAAACAAGAGAAAACUGUUACCAUGAACAAACAUUGCCAGAAUUAACCUUACUGUUUAAGAGGCCAACUUCUGGAAGGAGGUAGGAGUCAUAACUUUUUAGAGGCAUAUGCCAAAUAUCAUUUGGUAUACUUAACAAUAUUAGUGUUUUAAAAUGAUGAGUUAUAAUUAUUUGAACAUAUAGAUAUGUAACAUGCCACAAAUCAUUUCUACCAUGCAAGGUGUAUAAGUUGUUUAUUUUUUAGUGUUAAAACUAUAAUAGCUUGAAUAUAGGUACCAAUGAACAAAUUCAAAUUGCACCUCUUUUCUUAAAAGAAUGGGAUUUAAACUCUUAUAAACAUUCUUUAACUUUUUUGUUUGUUUGUUCUCUUUUUUUCCUUUUGCAUUCUUCUAGCCAGUGAUUGAUCUGCUAAUGCUUUCUUUGCCACUCUAAGUAAAAUUUAUUUCACCUCCUCAAUGAAAACCUCAUGGUUUUGCUGGCUGUUUAUAACUGCAUCGCACUUCUAGUUGUGGCUUGAAUUUUCAGUUAAGCUUUCAUGGUAUGUAAUUUUCCAGCCUUUUGAGAAAACAAGCAUACUAUAAGUGAGAGCUGUUUUGUUUUCCUUGUUUGUUUGUUUCAUGCUAGGCUUUUCCUGGCAGCAUGUCCAUUGCAGGCAGUGGACAAGAAACCACCAGCAUUGAGCUAACCCAGUACAUGCUAGGACCUGUCCUAGAGGGGCCACUUUUCAUUACCUGAGUUAUUUGUACAGAAGGGCAAUAGCCAUUAUUUUUGUGGAUGAGGAAACAAGAAUAAACAGAAUGGUAUUUUU
rnacentral:lncRNA from 1 species